UUGGAGGGCAAGUCUGGUGCCAGCAGCCGCGGUAAUCCCAGCUCCAAUAGCGUAUAUUAAAGUUGUUGCAGUUAAAAAGCUCGUAGUUGAAUUUCGGGGUCCAUACGUUGGUCGGGCUUUUUGGUCUGUACUGGCGUAAUGGAUUCCUACCUUCUGAAUAACCGGCAUGCCAUUAAUUUGGUGCGCCGGGGAAGCAGGACUGUUACCUUGAAAAAAUUAGAGUGCUUAAAGCAGGCGAUCGCCUGAAUACAUUAGCAUGGAAUAAUGAAAUAGGACGGCAUGGUUCUAUUUUGUUGGUUUCUAGGAUCACCGUAAUGAUUAAUAGGGAUAGUUGGGGGCAUUAGUAUUCAAUUGUCAGAGGUGAAAUUCUUGGAUUUAUUGAAGACUAACUUCUGCGAAAGCAUUUGCCAAGGAUGUUUUCAUUAAUCAAGAACGAAAGUUAGGGGAUCGAAGACGAUCAGAUACCGUCGUAGUCUUAACCAUAAACUAUGCCGACUAGGGAUCGGACGAUGUUAAUUUUUUAGUGACUCGUUCGGCGCCUUACGGGAAAC
rnacentral:rRNA from 1 species